UCACAGAGAAAUUGUAAUGGAAUUGGAAGCAAGCAAAUGUCCCUAUUGUCCAAAAGGGAAGAACAUCCAGGAAUGAUUCGUCACUAAAGGUCUUUUCUUUUUGAUCCAGGGGAGGCUGUUUCUUAAAAGAGUUGCUAUUCAUGAAUGCCCAUCUUGUGAAGAAAACUCUUCCUUUAUUUCACUAAAUGGAAAUGAAGAAAUGCUGCUUUGAUUCUUUUACAGCUCCUCACUAUAAAAAAAAUUACCACACGAAGCUGAAUUAUGCAGAUGGAAAGUACAACCCUUGCAAAAAGCAACUAAAAUGAAUACAUAGACCUUCAAGUAAACCAGGCCUUUGCUUAUGGUUUUUGCCCUCUAAAAGUGAUUGUGCAUACAAUACAAGCAAUUGUCAAUUCUUGUUGACACUUUGAUUCAUUCAAUAUAGCUUAGUAAAAUAAUUCACCGCAAAAAUCUUUGGAGAACCUAACAAAUCGGUAUGUUCUUAAAAUACUGUCUCAGAAAUCUUGAUGAAAAAUUGUGGCAGAAGGACCAGAAUGUACAUGUGAUGUAAAAGAAAAAAAGAGAAAGUUUGAAAGAUUUUCCACUGAAAAAAAUUCCUUCCUAAAAGAGCCAGUUUAUAAUUAGAUUUUAAUUGAAGAUUUAAGUAAAUCUUGAUACAACUGUGCAAAGUUGCACCAGUCAAGUUAUGUACAAUUGAAUGUACUUAAAAGCUGGAAAGUGGGGAUAUUAAUAAUAUGUCUCAGAAAAUGAAGGUUGGAGACUUAAAAGUUUAGAAAGUAAGCCUUGGGGCAAUAGAAUUUACUUGGUAUCCCAAUUCUUUCCUAAGGAAUUCAACAAUAAAAGGUACAACUAUCCAGGCUUUUAGGAACAACAAUGCCAGUAUAACCUUGUAUGUAAAACUUUCCACUGCUUACAUGAACAAAAGUUGGACAUGCUCAGGAAGGGCUUCUUCAUUAUUUCUCAAUAUGUUACCCAGAGUUAAGAUGGGAAUUGUGUUCUAAACUUGUUUGCAGAACAUUCUUUGCAUUGUGUUUGUUUCUACAGACUGUUUCAAGCUGGGAUAAAAGUUACUUUUUGCC